UGUCAGUGCUCCCAUCUGCACAAUGGGUGCAAGAAGCAUGCCCUGCACAGCUCAGUUGGGCUCUCAGCAGGUUGUCUGUUAAGGCACAGGAGUCCUGGUGGUCACACAGUCACUCUGCAAAGUCUGGCGGCUGCCUCUCCUCUGACCUGCCAUGGCUGGGUGUGCAUCCGCCCUUGGGAGCCCAGCUGGCCUCAGCCCCAGCCAGUCACACAAGCCCCCCUGGCCCAGAGGCAUGGAGAGGAGCCAGGACUGGACCCCACAGCCUCUGAGAUGGACACCAGGCCUCAAGAGGCAGCAACCCAUGUGUGAUCACCCCG
rnacentral:lncRNA from 1 species